GGGACAGAGGCAGAAGCAGGCAUGCAGGAAGCUCACCCUAGGGAGUGCCUGCAGUGAGCCAGGCACCUUAAGGAGCCUCUCCAGGGAUGCUUCCUUUGAGGACUUCUAUCCACUCCCAGAACUCACCUGACCAACUCCUGUCCUCCUCCCGCUCUUGUUCCUGGGUGAGGAAAUCAAACCCAGAGCUUCUAAGUGGAAAGCAGAGUUGGUGAGUCAGAAGGUUCCAAUGCUCUCCCCUCCUCCCCUCUCCUUUCCUCCCCUUCCCUCCCCUUUCCUCUCCUUUCCUCCCCUCCCUUCCCCUCCCCUUUCUUCCCCUCCCUUCCCCCCUUUCCUCCCCUCCCUUCCCCUCCCCUCUCCCCCUCCUUUAUCCCUCCUUUCUCCCUCCUUCCCAGUCCCUUCUCUCCUCCUCUCCUUUUUCUUUUUGAGACAGAACCUCACACUUGUAACCCAGGCUCCCAAGCUUGCCUUCACUCCCAGCAAUUCUCCUGCCUCAGCCUCCCAAAUGCUGGGAUUGCAAACACAGUACCAUUCCGAGUCAAGAAGUCUUUCUUUGAAGGGACCCGUCUAAAACUAGCACAGAUGAGUCCUGUCCGUGCUUUCUUCCUUUCUUAUCCAGUGAGUCAUGGAAGGAGCCAUGGGGAAGUUGGUCUUCUCCUCUAAAACCCUUGCUGAGUUUCCCUCCAGAGUGACAGUGGCUCAGGGGCACCAUUUUGGCUGCAGUCCUGUGGAGUUUCAUUUUCACAUUUUUAUUGAAAAAUCGAAAUCUGGAGAAUUAGAGCCUUUCCAUAUUGAUUUUCCAGGAGCAAGUGAAAAUUGCAUUUUGUAUAGGACUAAGGAAGUGGCACCUUGAGUGGUGACAGGGCUGACGUUGGAGAUGACGUGAGACCAGGAGAACAAUGGCGCUGGUGGGUAUAGCCUCUGUAAUUUUUUGAUGUGACAAAGGCAGGAAUGAAGAUUGAUCCACACCCAUGUGACUCGAUUUCUUGCAUUAUGAUGUUAAUUUCAUUUUGUUUUCAGUGAACAGGAAAGAAAAGUGGGAGCUUCAGGGAACAGAAAAUUCAAGUUUCACCUCGUAGCAUGUUGUGGUCAGGUAUCAAGUCCACACACACACACCUCUGCUCUGGCCAAGCUGGUUGCUUUGGGACAAUGUGGAGAACCCACUGGAAUUCCAACUAAAGUAUUCACGUUGAGGCCCACCUCUGUGUUCUGGGUUCAGAUCCUGCUGCUACUGUACUCUGACAAAUUAUAUAAUUCUCUGAACCUCAAUUUUUCAUCUGUAAAUUGAGGAUAUUGAAUAAGGUAGUAAGACUUGGGCGAUUGGAUUAAGAAAUAAAUAUUGGCUAACCUAAUGA
rnacentral:lncRNA from 1 species